rnacentral:rRNA from 1 species
AUACGGAGGAUGCAAGCGUUAUCCGGAUUUAUUGGGUUUAAAGGGUGCGUAGGCUGUUCGGAAAGUCAGGGGUGAAAGCCCGGCGCCUAACGCCGGAACUGCCUUUGAUAUUUCCGAGCGGGAUUACGGAUGCCGUGGGGGGAAUGAGUAGGGUAGCGGUGAAAUGCAUAGAUAUUACUCAGAACACCGAUUGCGAAGGCAUCUCACGAAUCCGUCAUUGACGCUGAGGCACGAAAGCGUGGGGAUCAAACAGGAUUAGAUACCCUGGUAGUCCACGCAGUAAACGAUGAUGACUAACCGUCGGCGAUACACAGUCGGUGGCCAAGCGAAAGCGAUAAGUCAUCCACCUGGGGAGUACGUUCGCAAGAAUGAAACUCAAAUGAAUUGGCGGGG